GGUUCUUGGGCACUGGGAUUUGAUGCUUUACGCACACAAAACCAAACCACUUCAACCACCCCAGAGGCAGAGAUGAGAGCGCCUCAAAACUUUUCUCCCCCUCACCCACCUCCCCACCCAUCAAGGAGUAGGUGGGUGCGGAGUGCCGUCGGCGGGGACCCGCGGGCGCAGAGCGGCUCUUCGGGGGAGCAGUGGUCGCUUUAAAAACCAAACCACUCGCCGCUCCAGCCUCCGCGCUGGGCGGCCGGCGGCUCGCCUCCCAGAAGGUUCCGCGGACAGCCGCAGACCCCCACGCGCGCCCUCCGCGCCGGCUUUCCCGCGUGCAAACGGGAGUCGGGGGGCGCCAAGGGGCCCAGGUGAUGCUUCCAGGACAGCGGGUGAGGUUCCAGCGCAGGGAAGAAGUUGACAAAGGGGACUUGACUAAACACGAAUGCAUAUUUAUAGACGCGAGCUCCAUCAAGAUCUAGAGAUAGUCUCCUUCUCCCUGCCUCCUUCCCCUCCUGCCAUUUCAUUUUAUCGCUCCUUGAAGUGGAGGGCAGAUUGUUUUCUUUAAAAAAAAAAAAAAAAAUUCCUGCCCGGUGUGGGUCAUCGCCGCGUUAUUUACAAUCUAGUUACUCGGCAGCGGACGGGGAAGCCAACUCCGGGCUCUUUCCCCUUCGGAUGGACAGAGAGGGCGACCGGGCGGCCCGCGGCAGGAAGGAGCCGCCUCAUGACCAGCCAAGGGAUUUCACCUCGUCCUUGAGAGCUACACGGGGAGCGCGAGCGAGCGAGCCAGAGACUGGGGGAGAGGGACGCGCGCGCGCACACACAGACACACACACAGACACACACACACACACAGUGGAAAAGGCGAGCCACCAAACCCAUCUCCAGUCUCCUCCCGGGGGGCCCCCCAGCCCGCCACUGUGCCACUUUGCAUCCCGCGCCCGAGGAGACGCAGAGGAAAGCCGGUAAGGCUUCUUAAUCAUCCACGGUGUAAAGACACACUUCAAGAGGAUCCUUAGAAGUCUUGGACAAGCUUCCCCACACGUGGCAG
rnacentral:lncRNA from 1 species